rnacentral:rRNA from 1 species
UACGUAGGGGGCUAGCGUUGUCCGGAAUCAUUGGGCGUAAAGCGCGUGUAGGCGGUUCGGUAAGUCCGCUGUGAAAGUCGGGGGCUCAACCCUCGGAUGCCGGUGGAUACUGUCGGGCUUGAGUACGGAAGAGGCGAGUGGAAUUCCUGGUGUAGCGGUGGAAUGCGCAGAUAUCAGGAGGAACACCGAUGGCGAAGGCAGCUCGCUGGGACGGUACUGACGCUGAGGCGCGAAAGCGUGGGGAGCGAACAGG